rnacentral:tRNA from 1 species
GCCUGGGUGGCUCAGUCAGUUGGGCAUCUGUCUUCGGCUCAGGUCAUGAUCUCACAGUUCGUGGGUUUGAACCCCAUGUCGGGCU